rnacentral:tRNA from 1 species
GGGCCCGUAGCCUAGUUGGAUAGGGCGCAGAAACAUUAUUCGCGUAAGCCUUCGAAGCCUGAUGUCAAGGGUUCGAGUCCCUUCGGGCCCGCCA